UCGUAGUCCACGCCGUAAACGAUGUCUACUAGGUCGCGGAAGUUCUGACACUGUCGCGGCCGAAGCUAAAGUGUUAAGUAGACCGCCUGGGGAGUACGGUCGCAAGGCUAAAACUCAAAGGAAUUGACGGGGGCUCACACAAGCGGUGGAGCAUGUGGAUUAAUUCGAAGCAACGCGCAGAACCUUACCUGGGUUUGACAUGCAUGGAUGCCUUCUUGGAAACAGGAUAGGCUGCCUUCGGGUGAAACUUGCACAGGUGCUGCAUGGCUGUCGUCAGCUCGUGUCGUGAGAUGUCGGGUUAAGUCCUUUAACGAGCGAAACCCUUGCCGUUAGUUGCCAGCGAGUAAUGUCGGGGACUCUAACGGGACUGCCGGUGUUAAACCGGAGGAAGGUGGGGAUGACGUCAAGUCCUCAUGGCCCUUAUGCCCAGGGCUUCACACGUGCUACAAUGGCGCAGACAAAGCGACGCAAUACCGCGAGGUGGAGCAAAUCGCACAAACUGUGUCUCAGUUCGGAUUGUAGGCUGACAACUCGCCUACAUGAAGUUGGAAUCGCUAGUAAUCGCGUAUCAGCUACGACGCGGUGAAUAUGUUCCUGAGCCUUGUACACACCGCCCGUCAAGUGAUGGAAGUCGGAAGUACCCGAAGUCGGGUUGCUAACUCUUCGGAGAGGCGCCUGCCGACGGUAAGUUCGGUAACUGGCACUAAGUCGUAACAAGGUA
rnacentral:rRNA from 1 species